GGGAAAUGAACUUUCAUCUAGUCUUUGUAAGAAUGUGAGUAGCUGUCAUAUUUGGGAGAAGUAACUUAUAGAUAUUUUUAAAGACAAAAAUGCACACAUUCUUUGAUCCAAUAACCUUACUACUUCAGAGAAAUAAAGGCACUAAUACAUAAGGGGAAAUAUACAAAGGUAGAUAUUGCAGCAGUGAUUUUAAAAAAAAUGGGAAUUUGAGGAUCAUAAAUGUUCAUCUCUUCAGGGAUAACUGAAUAAUGUACAGUGCAUUUUUAAUGUUAAGUAGUAUAAAGCCACUGAAAAUGAAGACUCAGAUUUAUAUUUAUUGACUUGAAAGGAUCCACAUUUUAGGGAAAAAAUUAAGUGUAUUUUGUUGAGGUUUAGAAAAAGUUAUGGAAACAAAUACCUCAAGCUGCUGACAUUGGUUACUUCAAGAGGAUGAGUUCAUCUCUGGGCAGCUGCCUUUGAUGAGUGAUUCCAUGCCAGAGAAGGACAGGGAGGACAAUAUGUGGACAUAAAAGGACUCAGCAAGGAGACACUGGAGGGGAGUCCUGAUGAGGAAGACGGAACCACGGACAUCUUCUUGUCACCUUUCUCCAUGGGAUCUGAGCUUGGAGUAUGACUGAGCCUUUGGUGAAACCCUGAGCCACAGCACAUGUUCAGGCAUCUCUGGGGUGCCCUAGGAUCUUGCCCCCAUCCUAUGACCACUCCUAGUUUGGGGUCUAAGCAGUGUCAUGAAGAGGAAGCAAAGAUAGCAAGCACAACAUGGUUGCACAAGCCCUGCUUUCAUAUACACUGACUCCAUUCUGGAGAAAGGAAAUGGAAGGAAAGAAGAGUUAAAAAUGGAACCUGUAUUCCCUAAACCCUGAGUCAUUCAAAAGAGACCAUGUACAGUGGAACAGAUGGUAGAUGAACUUGUAAGUUGGCAAGUUUUGAGUUUGGUUUCUCUUCAACUCUC
rnacentral:lncRNA from 1 species